rnacentral:tRNA from 1 species
GGGGCUGUGGCUUAGUGGGUAAAGCCACCGCCUAUAGUGCCUGCAUCCUAGGUGGGCAUAGGUUCAAGUCCCAGCUGCUCCA